GUGAGUGGUAAAACGGGAUACCUGUGGCGGUUCGGAAAAUGAUGGGGAAAACGUCGGUGUCCCGUUGGAAAGCAGUUUGACGAGGGUGUCCGGAAAAUCACGGCACCUGUCGAUUUUCCGCGAAAAUAACCGGAAACACCCGAUCCUCGGUCGGGUUUCUCGUUCAGGCACCAGCCGUCGCCGUCGUAUCUAGCAGACGACAUGUUGGCUGCACACAGCACCUCGUCUGAGACGUUUCAGCCGGAAAUUUCCUCGAAAAUCGUAUUGUACUGAAGUGCGUGCCGUAGAAAGUGCAGCUCGGAUAUCAUAUCGGGAAUAUCCGCAGUGUUUACGUGGAUUAACAAGUGUUUACCGGCGACAAGGAGUCACCGAGGAUCUCAGGUGAAAACGGAGUGACAGUCAAGUCGAGAAUGCAUGCAGCACGCGGAAUCGACGGGGUGCUGCAGUUAUGGUUUUGUGGUGCGACGAGGGAGGCGCAGCGAAGAAGUAGUGCAGGGUGCGAAGAAGAAGGAGGGCGUUGAAGUGAUUUACUUUACAAUUAGUUACGGCGGUGCGUCGUAUCGUAGCUGCCGUUACUCGUUAACAACAGUCCGGCUACCGACUGAACCUAAAA